UGUGGCUCAGUGGUACAGUGCUUGCCUGGAAAGCAUGAAGCUAUGGGUUCAAUUCCCAGCA
rnacentral:tRNA from 1 species